rnacentral:rRNA from 1 species
AUGAACUCCAGCUUGCUGGGGGGAUUAGUGGCGAACGGGUGAGUAACACGUGUGUAACCUGCCCUGGACUCUGGGAUAACCCCGAGAAAUCGGAGCUAAUACCGGAUAGGACCUGGAACCGCAUGGUUUUGGGUGGAAAGUUUUUCGGUCUGGGAUGGACUCGCGGCCUAUCAGCUUGUUGGUGAGGUAAUGGCUCACCAAGGCGUCGACGGGUAGCCGGCCUGAGAGGGUGACCGGCCACACUGGGACUGAGACACGGCCCAGACUCCUACGGGAGGCAGCAGUGGGGAAUAUUGCACAAUGGGCGCAAGCCUGAUGCAGCAACGCCGCGUGCGGGAUGACGGCCUUCGGGUUGUAAACCGCUUUUAGUAAGGAAGAAGGGAAGCGCAAGCUUUUUGACGGUACUUGCAGAAAAAGGACCGGCUAACUACGUGCCAGCAGCCGCGGUAAUACGUAGGGUCCGAGCGUUGUCCGGAAUUAUUGGGCGUAAAGAGCUCGUA